rnacentral:lncRNA from 1 species
UGGACAGUUCCUCCUCUAGUGGCCUUCAAUAUCACAGUGAAAAUACUUUUUUUUUGCUUUAGCCUUUUUUGGAACAUCCUUCCUUGGCAUGCUCUCUUUCUUCUGCUUCUUAGUGGAUUUUAUCUUCUUCUUCCAACUAGACAUUCUCUUGAAAGAAGUCUGCUCCACAGUGAGAACAGUGCCUCUUGAACUCUUCAAGA